GCUGAAUUGUUGGGCACUGAAAGUUCACAGCGGGUGGUGUCGCUGAGUUUGGGGUUAGAGAUAUUGCCUCGCGUUGUGUGCGCACUUGCCACCCCAAGUCAGGGGCCAUCGGCAGGUCCCACGUCCUUGAUGGCACCUCCAACUCUUGGUCCGGUGGUAAGCUGGACAAAAAGUAUGAUUGCUGCUAGGGUAGCAGAGCUUGAAAGUACGCGGCGGACAAUUGGGGGUGCAGUUUCUAUGGGGGGUCGAUCAG